CAAAGAAAUCCUGUUAACAUUAUUAAUUAAGUGGAAACUGCAUUUCUCAGCUGAAAUCAACAUAUUGCUGUUGUCAUUGUCAACAUCACACCAUAUAUAUUAACCUGAGAUACAGACUUUACAACCAUUCCACCCAUUUCCUUUUUUUCCCCUUCUUUUUGUUUGGCAUCUUAUCUCUUGCUUUUUGGUUGAACUUUUAGAAUUUUAACUUUCAAACUCAACCAUCUCAUAGUUUCCAAAUUGUGAGCUGGCUGCAUGAUUAAAUUAUAUUCAAGUUGCCAAAGGAUAGUCUAAAAUUAGUGGGUUAAUGGUGAAAUAUGAAUUUGUAAUACAAGAGAGUAGCAAUUUAAAUUUUAUCAGCUCUGCUCCCUUCUUACUAUUUAAGCCAGUAAUCCAAUAAUCAAAUGCCAACCAUAUAACACAAUUUAAACACUAAAAUGUGCAUUAGAUAUUAUGUCAAUUAGAAUUAAUGUACAAGUUAUGAAAUAUAAGGUAUUACACCAUCACAAAAACUAAGGCAAGUAAAAAAAAAAAAAAAGAAAGCCCUUGUGGGAAUUUGAUGAAAGGAAAAGCAAACCCAUUGAGACAUUCAUAAUUUUAGAUCACUUUAUCAAACUUUAAACAAGAUACGCUUUCUUUAUGGAAUUGUUUAAGGCCUGCCUUUUAUCAAAGAUAGCUUUGUUCUAACUUUCCAAAAAGAUGACUGACCUCUUGAUUUUUAAUGCUUCCACUUUUUCUCUUUACCAUUUGGACUUCCAACUCCCAAAGUGGAAUCAAAUGUUACAGAUAGUGUUGAAGUCUUUGAAGUCCUGACAAGCACUGUGGUUUUAUGUUGGCACAAAAUCAAAAAGAUACAAAAAUAAUGGUUGUAUGCCAAUUACAUAUCAAUUUGACUAAAUCAGAGGUAAGUUUUGCAACUACUCCCAACCCAUGUUUGUAAUCUGUAUCCUCCCCCCUUUUAGAAAGUGAAAAAUAUUCUUUCACAGUGCUAUGCUCACAUAGUGUUUGCUUGUUUGUCUUAACGGUUAAGAAAUUAAGAAAUUAUUACAAUUUAAAA